rnacentral:tRNA from 2 species
UGGGGGGUCGUCUAAUCGGCAGGACAGUGGGCUCUGGACCCACCGGUCUAGGUUCGAAUCCUAGCCCCCCAGCCA